CGAAAACACCCGAGCAAGGAGCAAUGACACAAGCACUUCUCUCGAACAGAAAAGAAAAAGGCCGAGAACAGGAGCUAGGGUUUGAAUCACCAUCUCUCCGGCCUACCCGCCGGUGCUCCGGUCACGCCUCUGCUCCUCUUCCCCCCUCUUCUCGCCCCCUUAUCCUCCACCCUAUUUUUCGACUGUUAGGCGCCACGAAGCCAGCCAUCACUCCAGGACCUCGUCUUCGUCUGCAUGGCGAGAAAAAAGGGCGACGGCGGAAAAUAUCUCCGGUUCCUUGGAGAUGUCGGCGAUAUCCCAGGCGAUCCGGGCCUGCGCGGUCGAGUCUGGGGCGUCGACGACGAGCCUGGUGUCCAUGGAUGCGAUGAGGGCGGGAGGGGCGUGGGCCAAGGGGCCACCCGCGGCGGAGCGCGGUACCGGGCGCGGCGGCAAGGGGGGCCGUGGAGGACGGGGCGCGCGUGCAGUCGGUGUUCAUCAGCUGCCCCGGGGUGGGCAAGGCCACCUAUGCCAGCUGCCUUUUGCGGCUCCACGGCAUGCCCCACAUCACCACUGGCGCUCUCAUCCAAAGGGCCCCCUCCAAGCGCGCCGCCACCAUCUGCCCCGCCUACCGCGGGCCGCCGGCCAAUCCCCCACCGUUGAGCGCCGCCACCGCCUACCCUCCUCCCAUCGGGAUCCCCUUGGAUCCAAAAAUCCAUCCACCCAGUCCUCGCCGCGAUUUCCAAAUUGAACCUACCGUCAUCCGGCGUACUGGCAGGGUGUGGGGAGAGAUCCAGAUGGCGACGCCGGACUAGAGGUCGGAGGCAGCGAGGUCCGACAGAGAAGGGCGAGGUGCGGCAGAGGAGGCGACGGGUGGGCUGAUGUUAGCGACAAAUAGCGGCUGGGUCGGGCACUCAGUGAGGCAGAUGCACGGGGGCAUAGCUGCGCAGGGAAGCUGCAACCGCCGAGAAAACCCGUCAGCACGCCAAUGGCCGCGGGCCACAGAUGCGGCGGCCUUGACAUCUCAUGGAUGACGCACAUCGGCGUGCUGCUUGAGCGUGAGGGCAAGGAAAGCAUCGAGCAGGCGGUCAUCCGGCAGGCGGCGUCACAGAGCCUCGUGGAGCAUGCAGAGGAGGAGAUCCAUCUCAAACCCUUACCAUGAGUAGACUGCCGAAAUUCUUCAUAAAGGCCUCCACUGACUGACAGAGGUAUGCCAUCUCUCUGCUCUGCAUCCCUAAACUGAAAUAUCUGCAGAUUUAGCAAAUGUUUGUCUCGAGGUCUGCAUGAGACCAUGAGCCUUUACAGUUCCAGAGCUUAAUUGUUUUUGCUCUAUGGACAUUGCAAGAUGCCGAGGCCUUAUACUUAGGAAGCAAUUUAAGACAGUCCCACACCAUUCUGCUUUGCACAGGCAGGUGAUUUUGAUAAUAUAGUUCCCAUGUGAGUUUCAUUUAAGGUUGGUCAAUUUGGCACUCAUUUUGGAUAUGAAGGUGAAUAACUCCUAGGCGUCAAGAAUCCUUAGGUUUGCACACCAUACGCCAUGCUGCAAAGGAAGGAUUAUGCUUUGUCAAGUCUCCCCCUCUUCAUAAUCAUUGCCUUCUUUGUUUGUCAAUUUUCUCAUUGAUUUAUUUUUAUACCAUAAGGGAACAUAGAUGAGAAGUAGAGAAUGAGGUCAUGGCUGUAUAUACCAUCUGUAGUUUUUCUUAUGUGGCGUAGAAACCGAGCAUAGCUCUGAACCGUAAGCUGGCUCAACACUCUAUCUUCCAUUGUUUCAGGGUAUCAUUAGUUUAAUGCCAGGCUAAGGCUUUUUUCCAAAAAUAAUUCAAGGAAAACCAAUGCCAAAGGUCAUGCGUCCUCGUGGACCUAGGUCCACCUAAACAUAACUUAAUGGGAUAAGGUUCAGAUUAAAUAAUUUUAGAAAGUUUCACACUUGAUGCAAAAUAUUAUAGUUUAGUGUUCACGUUGGACCAAGAUUUAAUAGUAGAGAUUGCUUGGAUUAAGUGGGGGUGAAGAUGUUCUUGCUGUCUAUAUCUGGAAUAAAAACCUGAUGAAGAUCCUUCCGAGGUAAGGUUCUCUUUGACUGUUCGUUCUUUGAACUCUUUUCCCGUCUCCUUAUAUUCAUGACUUAGUUCUAUUUUUGUGUAGGCGUUUCAAAUGUGCCUCUUCUCGCACUGAAUAGGGCCAUCAACGGAGCAGUCAAAGAAGCAACACUGCAGUAGCAAAAAAAAUGAUACGUGGCACUCUCCCAGUGUCCGCGCCCAGUAUAAUGUCAAAAUAGUAGUUGCUUCUUGUUCUUCAGAAAGUAAAUUUAAACAUCUGUUGUAAGAUUCCAGUACAAGCAAGAUUUUUAUGUGAGAUAGUAGCCGUGUUAUAUUUACAAAAUAAGGUUCUUUACUCCUAAGUCUAAUGUUUUGUGCCUCACGUCUGAAUUCAGGUCAAGGCAACCGCUGCUAGCUGCUCUGCCACAAGUACGAAAACAAACGUAGUUCUUUGCCUAAAAGGUGAAAACAAUUGUACUAAGCACCAACACAAUCACGUUUAGGUAGGGGUGAAGCCAGUAGUCAAUGAGUCAUCUCCAUACUCCAGGUUCAACACUAACUACUGUUUGAUUAGUGUGGUAUUGCCGAAAACAAUAGUACCAAGCACUAACACAAUCACCUGAGUAUAUCACAUGGGUAUAGCACUGAUUACUAUUUGAUUACCAUUAUACAGAUUUUGAAGGUAAGACAUUCAAAGUCGGUCUGUAAACGCGCUGGGGUUGUUUCUUAUCAUCAAUGGGGACUACAUGUUUUGAACGGACCAUUUUUAUCCCAUAUCUAAUAGUUCUGAUAACAAAUAGACACUGCUUUACUUUCAACUUUUUUGUAUGGGUGUGUCGUUUUAUUAAUUUAGGAAAUUGGAAGUGAUAUGUUGGUUUUACAGUUGUGACACAGUUAAAGUUGUACUUGCUAAUGAUACCAGGUGGCAUUUUGAGAAUGUGUCAUUUUCUUGAAAUAAUCACCAUUGUUUUCUCACUUCGUCUUUAUCUUAAAAGAUGGAGCACAUAUUGGCAUACACUAGAACAUUGUAACAGGCUUGACGAUCAAAACAUCUGUUGUCGGCUUGUUCAUCUUGUAUUUGCUAAAACCAGAUGCACAUUGAGUUUAUAUAAAAAGAAUUGUACCCCAAUCUGCUUCUCCUGUUCAUUGUAUCCACAGAUUUUGUAAAUCAGCGUAUCGUAUGCUUCUCAUGUCCAGAUUCAGUGGUUCACUUCAUUUUUGCCAGGUGUGUAUAGCUGACUGCUAUUUGAUUGCCCCGUUGACAUGAUAGAUGAGGCAAGGGCCAGGAGAGGAGAACUGAGGACCAGAAAGCAUAGGAACAGAUUUUGCUGCAUUAGCCAAGGAUAAAAAAAGAAAAGAGGGGAAAAGAAGCGGAGGAUAAAGAUUUGGCCAAUGAUCCGAUAUGUCUUCACUUCAAGGGUAACCUUGUACUUAGUCCUAAGAUCGUAGGUUGAUGUUUGGAUUGAGAAUUAUUGCCUGGUUAAGGCAACUGCUAAUUAGAAUAUGAAUAUAAAGGUUUUAAAAUCAAAAUUGUGUAUAAACAGUUUAGAAUUUGAUAUAGUAGUAAAUGCAAAGUUGUAGAGCAUCUGAAGGAGGCUAUAGUUUGUACUCCCCCCGUCUCACAAUGUAAGACUUUUUUGCAAACAAGGCAGUAGACAGUAGUACUGAAUGUUGAUUUCUCUUUACAUAAAUGUAAGUGCAUGAUUAGUUUUGAGAAAUAGUUUUAUGCAUUAUUUUGAUAUAUCUGCGUCUCUCCUGGUCUGAUUGUAGUAGAAAAAAAAUUAGUUGGUGUGGGUUCCCUAUAUUUUAGUGCUAACUACAAUCUAUAUCUCGUGGUAACAACAUAUGUUAGUCAGCUGGGUGCCCAUAUAUAUGCAUAACUAAUGGAGCUUUUACACUGAAUUAUUGCGAUGAGCAUAACAAUGAACUGAGAAAGAGAAAGGAAGCGAAACCGCGAUUCCAUGAUUUUGAAAGAAAUGGAACGAAACACCAUGCUCGGACAUGGCAAGGACGAGAUGCCGGCUGCUCGGAUAGUGAGGCGAAGACGUUGAAGGAGUAAUGAAUGCAGACACGGCAAGGACGAGAAGCAGGGCAAGGACGAUGUUGGGCCACUAGGACACAACGACGCGAAGACGUGUUCAGGCAAUCCUGCACGGCGGAGUUGUAGGUGGACAUGGCGGUGAAGAUUUUUUUUGUG
rnacentral:rRNA from 1 species